rnacentral:lncRNA from 7 species
GCUGGGAUGGGAUCCUCCUGCCUGGGCUGCUCGGAUGAGAGCUCCGUGUCCCAAUCUCUGCUGCUACCGUCGGGGUCAUGCUGUGUCUGAAGCAAGACGAGAGGUGCCCCAAGACAACACCUGAACACACUGGCUGUGCCUCCUAAAUGCCUUACAGAUCAGCGUGCCCAGCACAGCAGCUCCAUGACAGAAGCAGCAAUAGAUGGGGCUCAGCUCCCGAGAGCUCCUGCUGUAAGUCCUGCAAGGCACAAACCUCAGCUGUUCCGAAGGUGUGAGGUAGGCGGGCUGGGUAUUUUUGAACACACUGCAAGAAAGCCUGGUGUCAACAUUUGCAUUCCUCCUGCGGUGUUACAAAGCCUGAUCCCGUAUUAAACAGC